rnacentral:lncRNA from 1 species
CUAGUUCGUCCCACGGUUGUGUUUUCUGUCAUCAUGGAACCACCGGUAGCUGUUGUGUGUGCCUUAUAUGCGACACAGUGAAUGAUGACUGCAUUUCAUGUUUUGGCUAGAAGACAACACAUCCGCAGACAUCGAAUGCUAGCCAUCGGAGGAUAUCAGAGGACCUGAGCCCUAGGACCAUUCCUCAUGACUACCUGGCCUGAUGACUCCUUGCUGUCCACAGUCCAUCUGGUCGUGCUGCUGCUCCAGUUUCAACUGUUCUGUCUUCGGCUAUGGAACCCUGACCUGUUCACCAGACGUGCUACCAUGUCCUGGAACUGCUGUUUCAGCUCUGUCUCUCUACCGCACCUGCUGUCUCUAACUCUGAAUGAUCGGCUAUGAAAAGCCAACUGACAUUUACUCCUGAGGUGCCGACCUGUUACACCCUCUACAACCACUGUGAUUAUUAUUAUUUGACCCUGCUGGUCAUCUAUGAACGUUUGAACAUCUGGGCCAUGUACUGUUAUAAACUCCACCCGUCACAGCCAGAAGAGGACUGGCCACCCCUCAUAGCCUGGUUCCUCUCCAGGUUUCUUCCUAGGUUCCUGCCUUUCUAGGGAAUUUGUCCAAGUCACCGUGCUUCUACAUCUGCAUUGCUUGCUGUUUGGUGUUUUAGGCUGGGUUUCUGUAUAGCACUUUGUGACAUCGGCUGAUGUAAAAAGCGCUUCAUAAAUACAUUGGAUUGAUUGGAAAACAAAAGACUUACCCUCGAGGGAAUCCCUGCAGCCAUCUUUGCCGUCGGUCCAAACAAUUAGCCAAGCAAGGCAAGUUGGCAACGUAAGCCCUUCAGCCCUUGUUUGUGAUCGAGUUUGCGAGUGUACAAUUCUAUUCACUCCGGGGCCUGAAACGCCCCAUAAUUCAAUUUGUGAUGAUUAUACAUCCGCUAAGAAAAGUCUGCCAAAACAUGAAACUAACAUCAAUAUGGAGAGGUCAACAUACAAGUAUAAGUAAAAAUGAAUGUAAAUAAGUUAGAAAUUGUGCUACUAAUUCACGACAGCACAAGCACAUAUCGGAAAAGUAAUGAUGUUUUUGUUUGGUUAGCUUUUGGAAACGUUAGCUAGAGCAUACAACUUGUCCUGGCAUCACAUUUAUACAUUGUAGUUUUCGAUUUACCUGAUAUCCUCCGAUGGCU